rnacentral:rRNA from 1 species
UACGAAGGGGGCUAGCGUUGCUCGGAAUGACUGGGCGUAAAGGGCGCGUAGGCGGACUGCUCAGUCAGGCGUGAAAUUCCUGGGCUUAACCUGGGGACUGCGUCUGAGACGUGUGAUCUAGAGCGAGGAAGAGGGUCGUGGAAUUUCCAGUGUAGGGGUGAAAUUCGUAGAUAUUGGUAAGAACACCGGUGGCGAAGGCGGCGACCUGGUCGUUGACUGACGCUGAGGCGCGAAAGCGUGGGGAGCCAACAGG